GUAACGUGAAAUAAACCAAUCAGAGUGUCUCUUGCUCAUCAUUCUCUUUAAGAGUAGAUCAGGUGAGCUCUGACUUUGGUGGAUUGCUAUUGUAACGGUGCAGCUACCUGGACGUGUUCAACAAACUCUUCUCAGCAGAGGAAACUGAGCUGCUGGUUGACGCUGUGAAGGAGCUCCAGCAGCUCAUUUACGGGAACAGCAAUGUUAUUUUAUUUACUAUUCUGUUUAUUGUUGAUGUAAAAGUUGCCAAGAUAGCGAUGAACGUCUGACUGUUGGCGUCUGUCUAGGUUGUAUUCAGUCAGUGGAGCUCCUGUGUUUUCUGUUACCAAGAUAAACAAGAUAAAACUCCAGAAAUGUACCUGAACACACCUCAUUUCCAGAACACCACGCCCAUCAGUGUAGAUAUAUUCAGAAGAUCUGCUGCUAUUUAAACCAGGCAG